GACGAACGCUGGCGGCGUGCUUAACACAUGCUAGUCGAGCGGUAAGGCUCCUUCGGGAGUACACGAGCGGCGAACGGGUGAGUAACACGUGAGCAAUCUGCCCUUCACACGGGGAUAACCCUCGGAAACGAGAGCUAAUACCCGAUACGACCACUUCAGGCAUCUGAUGGUGGUGGAAAGUUCCGGCGGUGAAGGAUGAGCGCGCGGCCUCUCAGCUUGUUGGUGGGGGAACGGCCCACCAAGGCAACGACGGGUAGCCGGCCUGAGAGGGCGAGCGGCAACACUGGGACUGAGACACGGCCCAGACUCCUACGGGAGGCAGCAGUGGGGAAUAUUGGACAAUGGGCGAAAGCCUGAUCCAGCAACGCCGCGUGAGGGAUGACGGCCUUCGGGUUGUAAACCUCUUUCAGCAGGGACGAAGCGCAAGUGACGGUACCUGCAGAAGAAGCACCGGCCAACUACGUGCCAGCCGCCGCGGUAA
rnacentral:rRNA from 1 species